AGCAGCCGCGGUAAUUCCAGCUCCAAUAGCGUAUAUUAAAGUUGUUGCAGUUAAAAAGCUCGUAGUUGAAUUUCGGGGUUAAUAAGUUGGUCGUACCUAUGGUAUGCACUGGCUUUAUUGAUUCCUACCUCUUGACGAACUGUGAUGCCAUUAAUUUGGUGUUGCAAGGAAUCAGGACUGUUACCUUGAAAAAAUUAGAGUGUUUAAAGCAGGCUUACGCUUGAAUACAUUAGCAUGGAAUAAUGAAAUAGGACGUUUGAACCUAUUUUGUUGGUUUCUAGGAUCGACGUAAUGAUUAAUAGGGAUAGUUGGGGGCAUUAGUAUUCAAUUGUCAGAGGUGAAAUUCUUGGAUUUAUUGAAGACUAACUACUGCGAAAGCAUUUGCCAAGGAUGUUUUCAUUAAUCAAGAACGAAAGUUAGGGGAUCGAAGACGAUCAGAUACCGUCGUAGUCUUAACCAUAAACUAUGCCGACUAGGGAUCGGAUGAUGUUAAUUUUUAAUGACUCAUUCGGCGCCUUAC
rnacentral:rRNA from 1 species